rnacentral:rRNA from 1 species
GACGAACGCUGGCGGCGUGCUUAACACAUGCAAGUCGAACGGAAAGGCCCUGCUUUUGUGGGGUGCUCGAGUGGCGAACGGGUGAGUAACACGUGAGUAACCUGCCCUUGACUUUGGGAUAACUUCAGGAAACUGUGGCUAAUACCGGAUAGGAGCUCCUGCUGCAUGGUGGGGGUUGGAAAGUUUCGGCGGUUGGGGUUGGACUCGCGGCUUAUCAGCUUGUUGGUGGGGUAGUGGCUUACCAAGGCUUUGACGGGUAGCCGGCCUGAGAGGGUGACCGGGCACAUUGGGACUGAGAUACGGCCCAGACUCCUACGGGAGGCAGCAGUGGGGAAUAUUGCACAAUGGGCGGAAGCCGGAUGCAGCAACGCCGGGUGCGGGAUGACGGCCUUCGGGUUGUAAACCGCGUUCGCCUGUGACGAAGCGUGAGUGACGGUAAUGGGUAAAGAAGCACCGGCUAACUACGUG